UAACGCGUGGGUAACCUGCCUCAUACAGGGGGAUAACAGUUAGAAAUGACUGCUAAUACCGCAUAAGCGCACAGGACCGCAUGGUCCGGUGUGAAAAACUCCGGUGGUAUGAGAUGGACCCGCGUCUGAUUAGUUAGUUGGCGGGGUAGCGGCCCACCAAGACGACGAUCAGUAGCCGACCUGAGAGGGUGACCGGCCACAUUGGGACUGAGACACGGCCCAAACUCCUACGGGAGGCAGCAGUGGGGAAUAUUGCACAAUGGGGGAAACCCUGAUGCAGCGACGCCGCGUGAGUGAAGAAGUAUUUCGGUAUGUAAAGCUCUAUCAGCAGGGAAGAAGUUGACGGUACCUGAGUAAGAAGCCCCGGCUAACUACGUGCCAGCAGCCGCGGUAAUACGUAGGGGGCAAGCGUUAUCCGGAUUUACUGGGUGUAAAGGGAGCGUAGACGGCAGUGCAAGUCUGAAGUGAAAGCCCCGGGCUUAACCCGGGAACUGCUUUGGAAACUGUACGGCUGGAGUGCUGGAGAGGUAAGCGGAAUUCCUAGUGUAGCGGUGAAAUGCGUAGAUAUUAGGAGGAACACCAGUGGCGAAGGCGGCUUACUGGACAGUAACUGACGUUGAGGCUCGAAAGCGUGGGGAGCAAACAGGAUUAGAUACUCUGGUAGU
rnacentral:rRNA from 1 species